rnacentral:rRNA from 1 species
UGGGGAAUAUUGCGCAAUGGGGGAAACCCUGACGCAGCAACGCCGCGUGAAGGAUGAAGGUUUUCGGAUUGUAAACUUCUUUGACGGGGGACGAAAAAUGACGGUACCUCGAAAACAAGCCACGGCUAACUACGUGCCAGCAGCCGCGGUAAUACGUAGGUGGCGAGCGUUGUCCGGAAUUACUGGGUGUAAAGGGCGAGUAGGCGGGAUGGCAAGUCAGGUGUGAAAUUUAUGGGCUUAACCCAUAAACUGCAUUUGAAACUGCUGUUCUUGAGUGAUGGAGAGGCAGGCGGAAUUCCUAGUGUAGCGGUGAAAUGCGUAGAUAUUAGGAGGAACACCAGUGGCGAAGGCGGCCUGCUGGACAUUAACUGACGCUGAGGCGCGAAAGCGUGGGGAGCAA